AUUAAUUUUUUUAUCCGAUCUAUUCCGAUGGCCGGAGUUGCCCUUCUUCAACCACAAGAUGUUCUCAAACAUCAUGUAAGCUAUCGUCAACCUAUGAGAUCUCGACGGAAUUCCACUUCUAACCCUCUACCAAAUCCUAACCCUAACCCUAAGAAUAACCGAAGAAAGCGAAGUCCACAAAAAAAUGGAUCUGCUAACUUUUCAACUUGUCCUCCUAGUGCUAAAAAUCUCCAUCUGGUGAUGGGAGAGGUGAAAAUUCUGAAGCGUGGUCAAGUGUUGAAGGAAAACAAGCUUGUCACUGGUGAAGAUCUGGUGUUGUCCACUUCAGAUCGGCUGGGUCCAGAGCCGGAUAUGGUGCCUAAGAACAUAACGAUUGCUCAUUUCUAUGCUGGAUCGGGUUUCUCCUCCUC
rnacentral:lncRNA from 1 species